UGCAAGUCGAACGCUCACCUUCGGGUGGGAGUGGCAGACGGGUGAGUAACACGUGGGAACGUACCCUUUGGUUCGGGACAACUCUGGGAAACUGGAGCUAAUACCGGAUACGCCCUUUUGGGGAAAGGUUUACUGCCGAAGGAUCGGCCCGCGUCUGAUUAGCUAGUUGGUGGGGUAACGGCCUACCAAGGCGACGGUCAGUAGCUGGUCUGAGAGGAUGAUCAGCCACACUGGGACUGAGACACGGCCCAGACUCCUACGGGAGGCAGCAGUGGGGAAUAUUGGACAAUGGGCGCAAGCCUGAUCCAGCCAUGCCGCGUGAGUGAUGAAGGCCUUAGGGUUGUAAAGCUCUUUUAUCCGGGACGAUAAUGACGGUACCGGAGGAAUAAGCCCCGGCUAACUUCGUGCCAGCAGCCGCGGUAAUACGAAGGGGGCUAGCGUUGCUCGGAAUCACUGGGCGUAAAGGGCGCGUAGGCGGCGUUUUAAGUCGGGGGUGAAAGCCUGUGGCUCAACCACAGAAUGGCCUUCGAUACUGGGACGCUUGAGUCUGGUAGAGGUUGGUGGAACUGCGAGUGUAGAGGUGAAAUUCGUAGAUAUUCGCAAGAACACCGGUGGCGAAGGCGGCCAACUGGACCGGCACUGACGCUGAGGCG
rnacentral:rRNA from 1 species